GACGAACCGUGCAAACGUUAUCCGGAAUCACUGGGCAUAAAGGGCGCGUAGGCGGCUCGAAAAGUCAGGGGUGAAAUCCGGCAGCUUAACUGUCGCAGUGCCUUUGAUACUGUCGAGCUCGAGGGAGGUAGGGGUCUGUGGAACUUCCGGUGGAGCGGUGAAAUGCGUUGAUAUCGGAAGGAACGCCGGUGGCGAAAGCGACGGACUGGAUCUCUUCUGACGCUGAGGCGCGAAAGCCAGGGGAGCAAACGGG
rnacentral:rRNA from 1 species